rnacentral:rRNA from 1 species
AUUGAACGCUGGCGGCAGGCCUAACACAUGCAAGUCGAACGAGUGGCGGACGGGUGAGUAAUGUCUGGGAAACUGCCCGAUAGAGGGGGAUAACUACUGGAAACGGUAGCUAAUACCGCAUACUAUCAGAUGUGCCCAUAUGGGAUUAGCUAGUAGGUGGGGUAACGGCUCACCAAGGCGACGAUCUCUAGCUGGUCUGAGAGAAUGACCAGCCACACUGGAACUGAGACACGGUCCAGACUCCUACGGGAGGCAGCAGUGGGGAAUAUUGUACAAUGGGCGCAAGCCUGAUGCAGCCAUGCCGCGUGUAUGAAGAAGGCCUUCGGGUUGUAAAGUACUUUCAGCGGGGAGGCGUUACCCGCAGAAGAAGCACCGGCUAACUCCGUGCCAGCAGCCGCGGUAAUUC